rnacentral:rRNA from 1 species
UGGGGAAUCUUGCACAAUGGGGGAAACCCUGAUGCAGCGACGCCGCGUGAGCGAUGAAGCCCUUCGGGGUGUAAAGCUCUUUCGGCAGGAACGAUCAUGACGGUACCUGCGGAAGAAGCUGCGGCUAACUACGUGCCAGCAGCCGCGGUAAUACGUAGGCAGCGAGCGUUGUUCGGAGUUACUGGGCGUAAAGGGUGUGUAGGCGGUGCUCUAAGUUCGGUGUGAAAUCUCCCGGCUCAACUGGGAGGGUGCGCCGAAUACUGGAGUGCUCGAGCGCGGGAGAGGAGAGCGGAAUUCCUGGUGUAGCGGUGAAAUGCGUAGAUAUCAGGAGGAACACCGGUGGUGAAGACGGCUCUCUGGACCGCUGCUGACGCUGAUACACGAAAGCGUGGGGAGCAAACAGGA